CAUGACUUUGAUCUGCGUCCUCAUCUGGACUCUCCUCUGCUGCUGCUUCACAGAGUCCAGAGGACAGGUCACAGUGACUCAGCCUGCAGCAGUGACAUCUGAUCUGGGAGGAACCGUCACCAUCACAUGUAAAACCAGUCAGAAUGUUUAUGUUUAUAACAGCUACUACCACUGUUUAGCCUGGUACCAACAGAAAGAUGGACAAACUCCUAAACUCCUCAUAUACUACGCUAGCAGCAGAGCAUCAGGGAUUCCAGGUCGUUUUACAGGCAGUGGAUCAAACUCUGACUUCACUCUGACCAUCAGUGGAGUUCAGGCUGAAGAUGCUGCAGUUUAUUACUGUCAGAGUUAUCAUAGCGGUGGUGUGUUCACACAAGGACAGAAAGAUGGACAAACUCCUAAACUCCUCAUAUACUUUGCUAGCAGCAGAGCAUCAGGGAUUCCAGGUCAUUUUACAGGCAGUGGAUCAAACUCUGACUUCACUCUGACCAUCAGUGGAGUUCAGGCUGAAGAUGCUGCAGUUUAUUACUGUCAGAGUUUUCACUACAUCAACAAUAAAGAUGUGUUCACACAGUGA